rnacentral:lncRNA from 10 species
AUUUAAAUCCCAAACUUCAUUUUUGUUGACUUUGUUCUACUUGACAUCAGUAGAGCACUUCUUGCUGAAUUGGGUCGGGGGUCGUCCUCAGGCUCAAGAUUCAUACCAAUACCUGGCCAUAUACCUAGUCACAUGUCAGACCAGAUGUGCCCGGACCUUUUGUAGGACAUGCUAUCUGUGGUAGAAAUUUUGAGCGUGGUAUGUCUUGAGUUCAGUUAGACAGUCCAGAGGAUCUUUGAUACUUAUUUAAAAACCUUAGAAAGCUAAUUUAAGCUGGGCUGGGAGCAGUGGCUCAUGCUUGUUAUCCUAGCAGUCUGGGAGGGUGAGGUGGGUGGAUCACGAGGUCAGGAGUUCAAGACCAGCCUGGCCAAGAUGGUGAAAUCCUGUCUCUAUUAAAAAUACAAAAAUAAAAGAUACAAAAAGCCGGGUAUGAUGGCGCGUGCCUGCUCAGCUACUCAGGAGGCUGAGGCAGGAGAAUUGUUUGAACCUGGGAGGCGGAGGUUGCAGUGAGCCGAGACUGCACCACUGUACUCCAUCCUGGGCGACAGAGCAAGGGUCCGUCUCAAAAAAAAGCUAACUUAAGCUGGGCACAGUGGCAUGCUCCUAUGGUCCCAGGUACUCGGGAGGCUGAGGCAGGAGGAUAGCUUAAGCCCAGAAAUUCAAACCAGUAUGGGUAACAUAGUAAGACCCAUCUCAAAAAAAUAAAUAAAUAAAAAAUAAAGCUAAAAAGCGAACUUUAAUAUUUCUGACCUGUUUUUUACUCCUGUAAAAUGAGAGUGAUACUUUCUUCUCUCACUGGUUUGAAGGGAAAAGUUAGCUUUUGUAAAGCAUAUGUAUAAGAAAAUUAUCUAAAAGCACAAGGGUUAGUCUAUAUGUUGGACAUUUCUUUGCUGAUAAAAACCUAAGGUUUGGACUCUUAGUGAGCAAAAUACAAGUAUCAUAUUAAUAUGCUUUAGUCGAUUUGCUCUGAUUUGUGGUAAUAUAUAGGCCAUAUUAUUGCAUAGUUGACCUUUACCUUACAGUCAUCAUCUUUCAUCCGUUGAAAGAAAAUGGGAAAAAAUGGAAUUUAACCUAUUAAAUUAAUUUUUCAUUUAAUUUGUCAACAGAGUCCUUCAGCCAAACCAAGGACAGAAUGCACCUGUUCAUAGGCUACUUAGUAGACAAGGAACCCCUAAGACAUCAGUGAAGGGGGUUGUGCAAAAUAGACAGAAGCCUUCACAGAGCAGAGUGCCUAACAGAGUGCCUGUUUCAGGAGUAUAUGCAGGAAAAAUCCAAAGAAAGCGGCCAAAUGUUGCGACAAUUUAAGAAGACAACAUUCAUUAGGAUAAAAUGGGGGGAAGGAUUAUUAUUCAUGUUAUUUUCCCUGCCCAAGACUUUAUUUAACCCUGGACUCCGUUUACACAGACAAAGUGACAUCAGAAGGCUGAGCACUUAUCUGGAUCAUUUGGUCAGUUUGGUAAUUCCUGCUCCACACCCCUAUUUUCCUCUUAAUAAUACGUUUGGGUGAAGACAAAUUAGUGUUUAGUAAUUGCAUCAUCUCUGUGCUUACCUAUACAAACAUAAGUUUAUUUUAUAUGCCCAGAUGUCUACAGAGACCCUUUUUGUAAAUGUCAAGGACAUUUGGAUUUACUUUUACAGAAUAUUGAAAAGAUAAGACAAAUUAUAAAUAAGUUCUAAAA